CCUACGGGAGGCAGCAGUGGGGGAUAUUGCACAAUGGGGGGAACCCUGAUGCAGCGACGCCGCGUGAGUGAAGAAGCGCCUCGGCGCGUAAAGCCCUGUCAGCAGGGAAGAAGAUGACGGUACCUGAGUAAGAAGCCCCGGCUAACUACGUGCCAGCCGCCGCGGUAAUACGUAGGGGGCAAGCGUUAUCCGGAUUUACUGGGUGUAAAGGGGGCGCAGACGGCGAUGCAAGCCAGGAGUGAAAGCCCGGGGCCCAACCCCGGGACUGCUUUUGGAACUGCGUGGCUGGAGUGCAGGAGGGGCAGGCGGAAUUCCUGGUGUAGCGGUGAAAUGCGUAGAUAUCAGGAGGAACACCGGUGGCGAAGGCGGCUUGCUGGACUGCAACUGACGUUGAGGCUCGAAAGCGUGGGGAGCAAACAGGAUUAGAUACCCGAGUAGUC
rnacentral:rRNA from 1 species